GAUGAACGCUGGCGGCGUGCCUAAUACAUGCAAGUCGCGCGAAGCGGGGACGGGUGAGUAAUACGUGGAUAACCUCCUAUAAGACUGGGAUAACUUCGGGAACGCUGACCUAAACCGGAUACUUCUAAUUGGAUCUGACCUGCAUGAGCUAGUUGGUAAGGUAACGGGUUACCAAGGCAACGAUGACUAGCAGACCUGAGAGGGUGAUCAGCCACACUGGAACUGAGACACGGUCCAGACUCCUACGGGAUGCAGCAGUAGGGAAUCUUCCGCAAUGGGCGAAAGCCUGACGCAGCAACGCCGCGUGAGUGAGGAAGGUCGUCGGAUCGUAAAAUACUGUUAUUAGGGAAGCGUUACCUAAUCAGAAAGCCACGGCUAACUACGUGCCAGCAGCCGCGGUAAUUC
rnacentral:rRNA from 1 species